rnacentral:snRNA from 1 species
UGAUGCUUUUAUCUAGAGUUGG